rnacentral:rRNA from 1 species
UACGGGGGGGGCAAGCGUUGUUCGGAAUUACUGGGCGUAAAGGGCUCGCAGGCGGCCAACUAAGUCAGACGUGAAAUCCCUCGGCUUAACCGGGGAACUGCGUCUGAUACUGGAUGGCUUGAGGUUGGGAGAGGGAUGCGGAAUUCCAGGUGUAGCGGUGAAAUGCGUAGAGAUCAGCAGGAACACCCGUGGCGAAGGCGGCCCCCUGGGCCGUACCUGACGCUGAGGCGCGAAGGCUAGGGGAGCGAACGGG